UGGCGGAGGCCUAACACCUGCAGUCUGGGCGGUACACAGUGGAGCUUGCUCCUGGGUGACGAGCGGCGGACGGGUGAGUAAUGUCUGGGAAACUGCCUGAUGGAGGGGGAUAACUACUGGAAACGGUAGCUAAUACCGCAUAAUGUCGCAAGACCAAAGAGGGGGACCUUCGGGCCUCUUGCCAUCAGAUGUGCCCAGAUGGGAUUAGCUAGUAGGUGGGGUAACGGCUCACCUAGUGCGACGAUCCCUAGCUGGUCUGAGAGGAUGACCAGCCACACUGGAACUGAGACACGGUCCAGACUCCUACGGGAGGCAGCAGUGGGGAAUAUUGCACAAUGGGCGCAAGCCUGAUGCAGCCAUGCCGCGUGUAUGAAGAAGGCCUUCGGGUUGUAAAGUACUUUCAGCGAGGAGGAAGGCGUUAGGGUUAAUAACCCUGGCGAUUGACGUUACUCGCAGAAGAAGCACCGGCUAACUCCGUGCCAGCAGCCGCGGUAAUACGGAGGGUGCAAGCGUUAAUCGGAAUUACUUGGGCGUAAAGCGCACGCAGGGCGGGUCUGUCAAGUCGGGAUGUGAAAUCCCCGGGCUCUACCUGGAACUGCAUUCGAAACUGGCAGGCUAGAGUCUUGUACGAGGGGGGGUAGAAUUCCACGAGUGUAAGCGGGUGAAAUGGCGUAAGACUCUGCAAGGAAUACACGGUGGCAAAGCGGGCCCCUUGCAAAAAACUCUCGAUCCUACGGUUGCAAAUCGUUGGGACCAACGGGUUACUACCCUGGUAUCCCCCUCCGUAACAAUGUCAAUUGGAGGUU
rnacentral:rRNA from 1 species